CCUACGGGUGGCAGCAGUGAGGAAUAUUGGUCAAUGGACGCAAGUCUGAACCAGCCAUGCCGCGUGCAGGAAGACGGCUCUAUGAGUUGUAAACUGCUUUUGUACGAGGGUAAACGCAGAUACGCGUAUCUGUCUGAAAUUAUCGUACGAAUAAGGAUCGGCUAACUCCGUGCCCGCAGCCGCGGUAAUACGGAGGAUUCAAGCGUUAUCCGGAUUUAUUGGGUUUAAAGGGUGCGUAGGCGGUCGGAUAAGUUAGAGGUGAAAUCCCGAGGCUCAAAUUCGGAAUUGCCUCUGAUACUGUUCGGAUAGAGAGUAGUUGCGGUAGGCGGAAUGUAUGGUGUAGCGGUGAAAUGCUUAGAGAUCAUACAGAACACCGAUUGCGAAGGCAGCUUACCAAGCUACUUCUGACGUUGAGGCACGAAAGCGUGGGGAGCAAACAGGAUUAGAUACCCCAGUAGUC
rnacentral:rRNA from 1 species